AAGUCGUAACAAGGUUUCCGUAGGUGAACCUGCGGAAGGAUCAUUACCGAGUUAGGGUAGUCACUCACUGCCCGACCUCCCAACCCUGUGUCUACCACACUUUGUCGUUGCUUCGGCGGACCGGUUGACCAACUGGUCAUGACCGCCGGGGGCUGGUUCUGCCCCCCCUGGAGAGCGUCCGCCGAUGGCCCAACCACAAAACUCUUGUACCGAAACGUGUCGUCUGAAUUAUGUUUGAGAAAUCAAAAACAAAACUUUCAACAACGGAUCUCUUGGUUCUG
rnacentral:misc_RNA from 1 species